GGAAGCCCGUGGCUUUUCAAGGCGAGGGAGUAGAGGCAGCUUAAGACUACAAAUGAGGAGGGGCCAAAAUUGUUUUUCUUUAUGGUGCCUUUUCUUUCUUGCUGUCUUGCUCUUUCUUUCCUUCUAUUAAAUUAUGUGAUAUUACUUUUUAAUUUUUAAGCAGUUAUUUGAAUGUUUUCGAGCUCACUUUAUUUUUUUAUAAAUAUUGUUCCUUUUUAAACUAAAAUAGUUUUUAUUCUGUGUAUUUAAGUUAUUUGUAUGACAUAUCCAUCAACUCCUAUAAUUACACAUUUCCCCCCUUGGGGCAAGAGCAGCUAUAAUCUACUUAUUUAGCAUAAAUCCUGAAUACCACUAUCAUUAACUAUAGCCCUCAUGUUGUACAUUAGGUCUUCCCAUUUGUUCAUCCUACGUGUUUGUAACUUUGUAUACUUUUACCUAAAUUUCCCCAUUUCUCCUGACCCCACUCCAACCUGGAUGACCCUGGAUAAACCAGUGGUCCCCAACCUUUUUGGCACCAGGGACCAGUUUCACGGAAGAGGAUUUUUCCAUGGACCAGGGCCGGGUGGCAGACGGUUUCAGGAUGAUUCAAGCACAUUACGUGUAUUGCGCACUUUACUUCUAUUAUUAUUACAUUGUAAUAUAUAAUAAAAUAAUUAUACAACUCACCAUAAUGUGGAAUCAGUGGGAGCCCUGAC
rnacentral:lncRNA from 10 species